rnacentral:rRNA from 1 species
AGAUUCUCAAAGAAAUUGACGGGGGGGCGCACAAGCGGUGGAGCAUGUGGUUUAAUUCGAUGCAACGCGAAGAACCUUACCUGGCCUUGACAUAGUAGAGACUUUCCAGAGAUGGAAAGGUGCCUUCGGGAAUCUACAUACAGGUGCUGCAUGGCUGUCGUCAGCUCGUGUCGUGAGAUGUUGGGUUAAGUCCCGCAACGAGCGCAACCCUUUUCCUUACUUGCCAGCAUUUCGGAUGGGAACUUUAAGGAUACUGCCAGUGACAAACUGGAGGAAGGCGGGGACGACGUCAAGUCAUCAUGGCCCUUACGGCCAGGGCUACACACGUGCUACAAUGGUCGGUACAAAGGGUUGCUACCUCGCGAGAGGAUGCUAAUCUCAAAAAGCCGAUCGUAGUCCGGAUCGCAGUCUGCAACUCGACUGCGUGAAGUCGGAAUCGCUAGUAAUCGCGGAUCAGAAUGCCGCGGCGAAUACGUUCCCGCCCCUUUGUACACACCGCCCGAAUCUGAACCCCCUAAU